CCUACGGGAGGCAGCAGUGAGGAAUAUUGGUCAAUGGACGAGAGUCUGAACCAGCCAAGUAGCGUGAAGGAUGACUGCCCUAUGGGUUGUAAACUUCUUUUAUAUGGGAAUAAAAUGUUCCACGUGUGGGAUUUUGUAUGUACCAUAUGAAUAAGGAUCGGCUAACUCCGUGCCAGCAGCCGCGGUAAUACGGAGGAGCCGAGCGUUAUCCGGAUUUAUUGGGUUUAAAGGGAGCGUAGGUGGAUUGUUAAGUCAGUUGUGAAAGUUUGCGGCUCAACCGUAAAAUUGCAGUUGAAACUGGCAGUCUUGAGUACAGUAGAGGUGGGCGGAAUUCGUGGUGUAGCGGUGAAAUGCUUAGAGAUCACGAAGAACUCCGAUUGCGAAGGCAGUUCACUGGACUGCAACUGACACUGAGGCUCGAAAGUGUGGGUAUCAAACAGGAUUAGAUACCCUAGUAGUC
rnacentral:rRNA from 1 species